rnacentral:rRNA from 1 species
ACUCCUACGGGAGGCAGCAGUGGGGAAUUUUGGACAAUGGGCGCAAGUCUGAUCCAGCCAUUCCGCGUGCAGGAUGAAGGCCCUCGGGUUGUAAACUGCUUUUGUACAGAACGAAAAGGUUUCUACUAAUACUAGGAGCUCAUGACGGUACUGUAAGAAUAAGCACCGGCUAACUACGUGCCAGCAGCCGCGGUAAU